rnacentral:rRNA from 1 species
UCAGCCACACUGGGACUGAGACACGGCCCAGACUCCUACGGGAGGCAGCGUAAGGAAUAUUGGACAAUGGGGGCAACCCUGAUCCAGCCAUGCCGCGUGAAGAAGGCCUUAGGGUUGUAAAGCACUUUAGGUAAGGAAGAAAAGUGWAUAGUUAAUACCUAUUNWCNNUGACAUUACUUACAGAAUAAGAUU